GGAGCCGAAGGAUGGCGAGGAGAGUCGGGACGCACGCAGCACGCAGCUCGCCCUCGUUCACCUGAAGCCCUGCACGCCCCGAGGAGUGGAGCUAGAAGAAGGAGAGAAGAAGAAGAGGAGAAGAAGAAGAGGAGAAGAAGAAGAGAAGAAGAGAAGAAGGAAACAACAACAACAACAACGCAGCUUGGUCUCGUCGCGGUGAGACAUCGGAGCCUCGAACUCUCUUUUCCUUUUUGCCCUCUUCCCUCGGACUACCACAGGUGGCACCCAUGGGUGUUUGGACCGUGGCCGUGGCCGCUCUGCUGGCUGCCUCAGGGUGCUGGUUGGCUGAAGGGCUCAAGAGCAGCAGGCGAGACGACGCAGCCGCAAUGUCACGCUCCUCCUCCCAGGAGACGCACUCCACGGAGAAGGGGAAAGCGGACGGCAUCAUCGAUCAAU